rnacentral:rRNA from 1 species
UACGGGAGGCAGCAGUGGGGAAUAUUGCACAAUGGGCGAAAGCCUGAUGCAGCUAUGCCGCGUGUAUGAAGAAGGCCUUAGGGUUGUAAAGUACUUUCAUCGGGGAGGAAAAACAAAACUAAUAAUUUUAUUUCUUGACGUUACCCGAAAAAGAAGCACCGGCUAACUCCGUGCCAGCAGCCGCGGUAAUACGGAGGGUGCUAGCGUUAAUCAGAAUUACUGGGCGUAAAGAGCACGUAGGUGGUUUUUUUAAGUCAGAUGUGAAAUCCCUGGGCUUAACCUAGGAACUGCAUUUUGAAACUGAAAUACUAGAGUAUCGUAGAGGGAGGUAGAAUUCUAGGUGUAGCGGUGAAAUGCGUAGAUAUCUGGAGGAAUACCUGUGGCGAAAGCGGCCUCCUAAACGAAUACUGACACUGAGGGUGCGAAAGCGUGGGGA